rnacentral:rRNA from 1 species
UACGGGGGGGGCAAGCGUUGUUCGGAAUUACUGGGCGUAAAGGGCUCGUAGGCGGCCAACUAAGUCAGACGUGAAAUCCCUCGGCUUAACCUGGGAACUGCGUCUGAUACUGGGAGGCUAGAGUGCGGGAGAGGGAUGCGGAAUUCCAGGUGUAGCGGUGAAAUGCGUAGAUAUCUGGAGGAACACCGGUGGCGAAGGCGGCAUCCUGGACCGACACUGACGCUGAGGCGCGAAAGCUAGGGUAGCAAACGGG